rnacentral:rRNA from 1 species
CUCAGACAGCCAGGAGGUUGGCUUAGAAGCAGCCAUCCUUUAAAGAAAGCGUAACAGCUCACUGGUCGAGUGAAUCUGCGCCGAAAAUGUAUCGGGGCUAAAGCUAUUUACCGAAGCUGCGGAUGCGCCAGUCCUCGACUGUCGUCUUCGGACUGGCAAGUGCGUAAGUGCGUGAGUGCGUAAGUGCGUAAGUCUUUCUGACUUAGACACUUAGACACUUAGGCACUUAGGCACUUGCCAAUCCGAGGUUUCAGCCGAGGAUUGGCGCGUGGUAGAGGAGCAUUCCGUAUGCCUGCGAAGGUCGACCGAAAGGACGGCUGGAGGUAUCGGAAGGGAUUCUGCUGACAUGAGUAGCGUAAAAACAAGCGAGAAACUUGUUCGCCGUAAGUCUAAGGUUUCCUGGGGAAGGGUAAUCCGCCCAGGGUUAGUCGGGUCCUAAGCCGAGGCACUAUGCGUAGGUGAUGGACAACAGGUUAAUAUCCCUGUACCGCUAAUAGCGCGUUAAAACCCAAGGAGGGACGCUAUCCGAGCCGAACGAGCCCACUAUCGGAUGUGGGUGUAAAUAUGUAGGGUGUGCGUGUGGCAAAUCCCGCGCACUUGUUUUAAUACUGAACCCGAGAUAUGAUGCCGAAGUCCCCGCAAGGGGGCGCAAAGUCGUUGAUGCUUAUAGCCUAGAAAAUCUUCGUGGGGAGUGCUGUUAGUGCCCGUACCGCAAACCGACACUGGUAGACGGGUAGAAGAUACCAAGGCGCUUGAGAGAACCCUAGUUAAGGAACUCUGCAAAUUAGCACCGUAACUUCGGGAGAAGGUGCGUCUUAGAACGUGAAGGGACUUGCUCCUGGAGCGUUCCAAGAUCGCAGUGAAAUGGUGGCUGCGACUGUUUAACAAAAACACAGGACUCUGCAAAGUCGAAAGAUGACGUAUAGGGUCUGACACCUGCCCGGUGCUGGAAGGUUAAAGUGAGAUGUCAGCCGCAAGGCAAAGCAUUGAUCUGAAGCCCCAGUAAACGGCGGCCGUAACUAUAACGGUUAACAUAUUGAUAUUAUUGAGAAAAUAAUAUCGAGCUACCAAUCAAUGGCCGUUAUAAAAUUUGGCUAUAUGCUGGAACAACUGAAGUAUCCCAAGAUACCGAGGAGGUGAUAAAUCUAUGGGUGCAGUUAAUCAGCAGGAAAGAUUGUCUGAAACCGAAACAAAAAAAUGGUUUCUAGCGGGUUUCAUAGAAGGAGAAGGAAGUCUGUGUGUUUCCAUGAAGGAACAUCCAACCGCAAAGUUUGGUUAUUAUGUUGAUCCGGAGUUUUUUCUGUAUCAGCAUAAAAGCGGGAUCGAGAUCUUGGAUCUUGCAAAGGAAAUUUUCGGAAGCGGGCGGAUUGUUCCAAAAUGUGGGAACGAAGAUGUUCUAGUUUUUUCGAUAACUUCUCGAAGGACUUUAAUUGAAAAAAUAAUUCCUUUCUAUGAAAAGUACAUGGUCUAUUCUUAUAAAAAAAGUAUCUUCAAUAUUUUUAAAGAUAUUGUUGAGGCCAUGGAUCGCAAAGAACAUUGGACCCCUGAAGGCAUGGCACAUAUUGUCAGAAAGGCAUAUAUGAUGAAUCCAGCCAGCAAGGGAAAAGAGAGAAAAAGAACUCUCGAUGAGGUUUUGGACAGGAUCCUCAGAGACUACAAGCCAGAUUCUGAUAAGAUAUCAGAAAAGAUAUAGUCCGAUCUGUAUGGCAACAUACAGCUAACACAAAUGCCUAAGGUAGCGAAAUUCCUUGUCGGGUAAACCAAAUGGAACUUGCCCGAAUGGUGUGGUAACAUGCCAUAAGCAAAACAGCUAUAUCGGUGAAGCCUACAGAGCGAUGGUUAAAGGAAACCAUCAGUGCAAACUCUACGGUAAUACCGAGGGAAGUCCGCCUACGGCGGACCCCGUAACGACUACACGCUGUCUCCGCAAUGUGCGGAUGAAAAUAUAGUCUGAUCCUUGGAGAAAUCCAAGCAGAUGUAAAUUGAAGUUCCGACCUGCACGAAUGGUGUAACGAUAGCCACACUGUCUCAACUGGGGGCUCAGCGAAAUUGUACUGGCAGCGCAGAUGCUGCCUAACUGCGGAAAGACGGAAAGACCCUGUGCACCUUUACUGCAACUUGACAGUGUAAUUCGGGGCUGUUUGCGUAGGAUAGGUGGGAGGCUUUGAAACCUGGAUUCUGGUUCGGGUGGAGCCAACCUUGAAAUACCACCCUGAUAAUUCUGGAUUACUAACUUAGCUGCUUAUAUCAGCGGCGAGGACACUGUCUGGUGGGUAGUUUGACUGGGGCGGUUGCUUCCAAAAGAGUAACGGAAGCGCGCGAUGGUUCCCUCAGGCCGAUUGGAAACCGGCCGUUGAGUGUAAGAGCAGAAGGGAGCUUAACUGCAAGACUUACAAGUCAAGCAGAUACGAAAGUAGGUUCUAGUGAUCCGGUGGUCCCGUAUGGAAGGGCCAUCGCUCAUCGGACAAAAGGUACGCCGGGGAUAACAGGCUGAUCGCAUCCAAGAGUUCAUAUCGACGAUGCGGUUUGGCACCUCGAUGUCGGCUCAUCACAUCCUGGGGCUGUAGCAGGUCCCAAGGGUUUGGCUGUUCGCCAAUUAAAGUGGUACGCGAGCUGGGUUCAGACCGUCGUGAGACAGGUCGGUCCCUAUCUUCCGUGGUCGUUAGAGAUUUGAGGGGAUCUGUUCAUAGUACGAGAGGACCUGAAUGGACAUA